rnacentral:misc_RNA from 1 species
CUUUUAAAAACUUCACAAAUUUUGCUGGUCCAUAUGCUAUUUAAUUUAGUUUUUUGGUAAACCAUGAUUCAUGACGUACUAUUAAUUCUUUGGGAUUCAUCUGAAAAUGGUAUCGAAAAAAAAGAGAACCUUGCAUAUGCGAAUGAGGGUGAUGUUGAAAUCUAUGGUAGAAUAAGUGAGAUAGCAAAGAGCCAUCAUAGAAUCCAAUCCUUUGUAGAAGAGACUGGAUUCCAAUCCCGAAAAGCUUUAUCAGCAACAACACACAGUCACAGAUAUGGACUCUAUACCCAAGCACUAAGUGAAGGCAUCACUGAAGUCCUACUAUCAUAUAAGAAAACACUUGUAGAAGUUGAAUCUCUAGUAAUAGGGAAUCACAAUUACACCUUAUCAUAUGUCUACAGUUACAUUGAGAAAUAUCAAGGUCUUUUCAAUACAUUGAACAGAAUUAUAACAACUAUUAAAGAAAGGAGAUUAAUGGGCUGUCAGAUAUUGAGUUUAAUUCAUCAAUAUAUUUUAAGUGGCAACAAGUCUAUUCAUGAUGCCGUUUUAAAAAUAUUCACAAGUGUGAACAAAGUAUUCAUACAUCAACUAUGUACUUGGCUUCUUUAUGGGGAAUUAAAGGAUGUGUAUCAAGAGUUCUUCAUAUCAAAAAGAAAAGAUGACUCGUCAGAAACUUUAUUGUCAACACCAUCUUCUUCUAAUGUCUGUGACAAAACUCUUGUUUCUACAUUGCAGGAGACAUUAGGUUGUGGUUACACACUCAAUCCAACACUGAUACCACAUUUCAUGCCACUGUCACUAGCACAAGAAAUAUUGUUUAUCGGAAAAACUGUAAUACUCUUCGAUUUAGAUCCAAAAAAAGUAAAAAAACACAGUGGCUUUGCUUCAAGCAGACCGAUGUUGCCUUUGAAAAAAUAUGGAAUUGAAUCUAGAAGGUUUACAAUUUGGGAGGACAAAGAAUCUGAAUUUCAUGAGAAACUACAAAAACUUAAAGAUCCAGAUAAUUUUGAAGUUCAUAAUCUGAGAAGUGUUAUAAGGGAGAUUAAAGAAUGUGUAACUAAGCAUUUGUGGACAGUGGCAGUCGAAGAAGCCCAAUUGAUACAUGAGUUGAAGCUAAUGAAAGAUUUCUAUCUACUUGGCCGGGGCGAAUUGUUUCUGGAAUUAUUAAGACUCACAGCACAUAUGCUGGACAAACCGACGAUUCGCACGUCAAGUAGAGACAUGAACCAGGCUUUUCAAAUGGCGGCACGCUCCGUUUUCCUAAGUAAUAAUACUGAUAUAGAAAAGUUUAGUUUCGAGCUACCUUAUGUUAAGCCGAACAUAUCAGGGAAUUCGUCGAUUGACGAAGACUACAGUACCGUUGCAGAUGGAUGGUCGAGUAUAAUCUUGAAAUAUGAUUUCAAAUGGCCGUUACAUUUAUUAUUUACACCGGAAGUACUUGCCCGUUAUAAUGAUAUGUUUCGACUAUUGCUCCGGCUAAAGAAAACCCAACACGAUCUGCAUUCGCUUUGGAAAACGUACAAACAGUCGGCGAGUUUCUCGAUGUCCCAACUACACAACAAACUGAUGUUUCUAAUGGACAACCUCCAACACUACAUGCAAGCGGACGUAUUAGAAACCAAUUUCUCUCGUCUGAUGGACGCUGUCAACAAGACGAACGACUUUGAGAAACUCAAGAAGGCUCACGCCACGUUCCUGGCUGAUAUAUUGAGUCAGUCAUUUUUGACUGUGACUUUGUCGUCAGAUAGCGAUUGUUCGGGAGAUCCCGCCGAUACAUUAAAUAACCCGGUGUUCUGUAACAUUAUGGAACUACUGAAAUUGUGUCAUUCAUUCUGCAGUAUGAGUGAGAUAGCAAACGAUAGGGAAGCUGAAGAUUAUUACAUAAAAGGAUAUUCUGAAAGUGUCGCUACGAGAUCGUCCGUGCGGCGUUUACUUAGCGAGACUUCUGAUGAGACUCGACUACAACCGGUGGCUCAGUAGAGAGGCGCAGUUAACGCAAUCUGUAACAAACAUGUUAAGAUACUGAUGAGGGCUUACUUACCACCCUCAACAUCGGAACGCAGGAGUUAAGAAAACUUAGUGUUUUAUUAUAAAGAAAACAAGUUUCUGACUUGGCUGGUCGUCCUGAUCGAGUCCUUCCACUGCAUGGCAGACCUCUUUCUUUGCGGCGAACGAUCGAUGUUGGUUGUACAUGAAUCUUUCGAGAUUUUCGUCAAACAUUUUUUUCAACUACAAAUGAUAUAAUACUCGAUGGAGUUUGUAGCUUCGACAAAUCAGAUCCCAACUUUGUAAGAAUGUUUUUAUAUGCAGCAUUUGAAUCAUUUUCCAACAUAUCAGUAAUUCUUUGCCACUGAGCUUUAAUAUUUUGAACAGCACUGUCAAAGUUUUCAUUGUUGAUAGUUACACUGUUUUCCGCUCGAUUUCUCUCUGGUAUAGCAUCAUUUGGUGUAAUAGAGUUAGCCGGAUCUAAUCAGAGUUGGCUGUAUUCAUUAUUUGUGCUUGAUUUACACCUAAUAUUUUCAAAGAAUUACGAUGAAAACUGCUCACCCAGAGCUAAUUUCGCAAAUUAUUGAUGAUCAUAAUCAUUCAAAUGUAGCGAUGCGGAGUACAGUUCCAUGUUUCUUUUCUAGAGUGCAGAUAUGUAUACAAAAUCUACCGCCAGCGCCAUACGGACAGAUUAGUUUUCUCUUUCACAAAGUAGGUAUUGUCAUACAUAUAAACUUCUUUUUUUUUCUACUUAAGCUGAUAGCCUUAAGAGGCUAUUUCAACGUAACCGUAGUAGGUGAGCUCACGGGGCUCAA